AUAGCUCUUCUCCCCGAAAUAGCUUUAGGGCUAGCCUCAAGGUGAGAGAUACGGAGGUAGAGCACUGAAUGUCCUAGGGGGUAUUGCACCUACCGAAGACUAUCAAACUCCGAAUGCCGUCAUCUUAUACUUGGGAGUCAGACUGUGGGUGAUAAGAUUCAUAGUCGAAAGGGAAACAGCCCAGAUCGUCAGCUAAGGUCCCUAAAUGUAAGUUAAGUGGUAAAGGAUGUGGGAUUGCACAGACAACCAGGAUGUUGGCUUAGAAGCAGCCACUCAUUCAAAGAGUGCGUAAUAGCUCACUGGUCGAGUGAUCCUGCGCCGAAGAUUUCCGGGGCUAAAAC
rnacentral:rRNA from 1 species